rnacentral:rRNA from 1 species
UACGUAGGGGGCAAGCGUUGUCCGGAUUUAUUGGGCGUAAAGAGCGUGUAGGCGGCUGGGUAGGUCUGCUGUGAAAACUCGAGGCUCAACCUCGAGACGUCGGCGGAAACCCUCCAGCUAGAGUCCGGAGGAGGAGAGUGGAAUUCCUGGUGUAGCGGUGAAAUGCGCAGAUAUCAGGAGGAACACCGAUGGCGAAGGCAGGUCACUGGGCCGCAACUGACGCUGAGGAGCGAAAGCAUGGGGAGCGAACAGG